AUGACUCAGAACAUCUGGCAGUUAAUUGGAUCUGUGAUUCCCAUCUAUUUUGACACCUGUUUAUGUGAUUUCUAAUAUAACGUCCGGAUUUGAGGUGCAAUUUCUGUAGCAUAAGCUACUCAUUAGUAGGACCUCCAUGAUGUAAAUUUUAAGAGCCAGAAUAUCGGUGAGCAUAUGAAAUUAAAGUUUAGACAUAACUUCAGGUCUGCUGUAGACCAGGAGCAUGUUCAUCAACCACUUACUGCAUUUUAGGGAUCAUGCGAUGGUUAUCACAAAAAAUGAAACAACAGGAAAACAUCUAAGGAGAAAGAAUGCUCAAAAGCCAAUCCAGCUUUGCAGUGCAGGUGAAGGCACACCUGCAUUAGGUUGGAAUACAAACAAACUCUUAAGCGAAGAAUAACAGCAGAAUUGCUUGUUAACUGCCAUGAGAAGCAACCUUACAUCUGGAACUCUGCCUAUUGCUCUAAUUCAGAAAAAAAGAAAGCAAUACAACUUUAAUGGAAACAAGGAAUGUUCCAGUGCUCCAAUCUGGAGAAGAGCUCCACUGGACAGAUGGAGUUGCUCGUCUACUCUAUUCCUGUCGGACUAUAAGGCUUUGCCCUCCAAAAGCUGCAAGAACAGUCUAACGAGACACAACAUUUAGUGUGGGGAUUGCAAAGCUUUAUUUUCCUAAUUGUUUUAUAUUCAUUUCCUGGUAAUAUAGGAAUACUUUAAUGACUGUGAGACCCAUGAGAGAGUCUUUAAGCUACUCUUGUGUUUUCUGGGGACUUCACAAGUUCCCAGCAGAAUUUAAACUGGGUCUGGUAAAGUAGACAUUGAACGUUCUCUCCCUUUUUCUUACAUCAAACUGCCCUUUAAAAAUGAUUCUACAUUUAUGAUUCAGUGCAGAACCGCAGCCCUAGGGCCAGCCAGGAAAAGCUCCUGUAAAUCAUUCAAAGCAGGGAGACAAUAACACCAAUAUUUAAGAUUGUUAAUGAAGAUGUUAAAUAAACAGGACCAAACAGUGAUCCCUGCAGAGCUCCACAAGACACCUCCCACCAACUUGAUACAUUGCCAUUUUUCAUUACCCUUUAUUUGCACUCAGCCAGACAUUUUUAAAUCCAAGCGACAGUACCCCAUGUCCAAGCCAAUUUGAAUUAAUUUUGCAAGUAAAGAUUCUGUAAGACACUACAUCAAGUGUUUUACUCAGACCAGAUAUAUUACACAUGCCUUCAUCCACUAAUUUUCUAAAGCUAUCAGAAAAAGCAAUCAAGCUUUGAAGAUUACUAGACCCAGUCAGCUUUUUGCUGGUCUAUUCACUUACAAAACCAAUCCUGGCAUUAUUAAAGAAUUGUCACUCCUUUAGCUGAUGACUGAUUUAAAAUAAUGUAUUUUUCUAAUCCAUUGACUUCCCAAAAUAUAAUACAGCACUGAUUAUUCUUCCUAACUUUUAGUUUAGGGCUAUAUGGUAUGUGGACUUAUGUUCUGAUUGACAGACUGGUGUUUUUCUUGAAAAGGAUGUGAUUUCUGUAGCAUAGCUUGUGUUUAUUUUACGUGUUUCCAGCUGUUAGAUUGUAUAAACGGUUAUUCCUUACUCCCAGUAUGAAGGCAAGUAAGUCCUACAAAACCUCUUUAAUCAUAUCAGUGAAGAAGCAUCAGACUUGCAGAAGGGACAAAAACACAAUAUGCAAGGUCUAAUUUUAGACAUACUAGAUUUAUUAUUUUUUUUCACAGUCAAUGCCAGUCAAAAUAAACUUUCUCUUCUUAUUUAACACAUUCCUUUCCCCUAUAUUUUAUUGCUUACUCAUGUUAUAAAGUGUUGUGCCUAAAACUUCUAGUCAGUUUGUUUUUUUCUCUUAUGGCACAUCCAUUCGUUAUUGUACUGUCUCCCAAAUCUGGCCCCAUUCUUUUAACACUUGUACCCUUCCUAACAAACUCUUGUUGUGGUAGUGAAGCAAUGUGUUCCAGAUGAAGUCUGGGGCACAGAAAAACCUGGUGACUUAUUUCAUUUUACAUGUAGACUCUUUGGUAAAAAUGGGAACGUUUCAGAUAUAGUGAAGUAUUCCUCCUAAACACCUACUCAAUAGGCUAAAUAUGAAGCCAUUCCUUUACAGAUGCCCUUACUAAAGACUCUUUCUUAUUCUUGCUAGCAUUAUUCAAAUACAGUUCCUGGUGAUCUCUUAGAUGGGGCCCAGUUCUACCUCUAGUUUGUUGCGUUUUUACUGAAAUGGGUCCAAACAGUUUAUUACUGUGUUUCUCAAAAUUCUUCAUAC